CUCUGCUCCAGGCUUGAGUAUAGCCGGGAGCCUCCAUCCCAGGCCCCACCAGGGAGGCUGGCUGGGGCCUGGCCGCACUCAUCCAGAACCCUGCUCUGCCUGCAGCCACAGUUCCACAAUGGCGAGUCCGAGGAGAGCCACGAGCAGUUCCUGAAGGCGCUGCAGAACGCCGUCACCACCUUCGUGAACCGCAUGAAGAGUAACCACAUGCGGGGCCGCAGCAUCACCAACGACUCGGCCGUGCUCUCGCUCUUCCAGUCCAUCAACGGCAUGCACCCGCAGCUGCUGGAACUGCUCAACCAGCUGGACGAGCGCAGGCGUAGUGUACUAUGAGGGGCUGCAGGACAAGC
rnacentral:sRNA from 1 species